CGCCUAACACAUGCAAGUCGAACGAAGUAGCAAUACUUAGUGGCAGACGGGUGAGUAACAUGUGGGUAUCUACCCUUUGGCCUGGAAUAACACGAGGAAACUUGUGCUAAUACUGGAUAAGUCUUUACAGAGAAAGCUUUAUGCACCAUUGGAUGAGCCUGCACUUGAUUAGUUUGUUGGUGGGGUAAUGGCCUACCAAGACUGUGAUCAAUAGCUGAUUUGAGAGGAUGAUCAGCCACAUUGGGACUGAGACACGGCCCAAACUCCUACGGGAGGCAGCAGUGGGGAAUCUUGCACAAUGGAGGAAACUCUGAUGCAGCGAUGCCGCGUGAGUGAAGAAGGCCUUUGGGUUGUAAAGCUCUUUCGUCGGGGAAGAAAAUGACUGUACCCGAAUAAGAAGGUCCGGCUAACUUCGUGCCAGCAGCCGCGGUAAUACGAAGGGACCUAGCGUAGUUCGGAAUUACUGGGCUUAAAGAGUUCGUAGGUGGUUGAAAAAGUUGGUGGUGAAAUCCCAGAGCUUAACUCUGGAACUGCCAUCAAAACUUUUCAGCUAGAGUAUGAUAGAGGAAAGCAGAAUUUCUAGUGUAGAGGUGAAAUUCGUAGAUAUUAGAAAGAAUACCAAUUGCGAAGGCAGCUUUCUGGAUCAUUACUGACACUGAGGAACGAAAGCAUGGGUAGCGAAGAGGAUUAGAUACCCUCGUAGUCCAUGCCGUAAACGAUGUGUGUUAGACGUUGGAAAUUUAUUUUCAGUGUCGCAGCGAAAGCGAUAAACACACCGCCUGGGGAGUACG
rnacentral:rRNA from 1 species